rnacentral:rRNA from 1 species
UACGUAGGGGGCAAGCGUUGUUCGGAAUUACUGGGCGUAAAGGGCGCGUAGGCGGCAUGGCAAGUCAGGAGUGAAAGGCCUGGGCUCAACCGAGGAACUGCUUUUGAUACUGCCAAGCUAGAGUGCGGAAGGGGCAACUGGAAUUCCCAGUGUAGCGGUGAAAUGCGUAGAUAUUGGGAAGAACACCUGAGGCGAAGGCGGGUUGCUGGGCCGACACUGACGCUGAGGCGCGAAAGCUAGGGGAGCGAACAGG